rnacentral:tRNA from 1 species
UCCCCGGUGGUGUAAUAGGCAACACAUCAGGUUUUGGUCCUGACAUUCGAGGUUCGAGUCCUCGCCGGGGAACCA